AUUGAACGCUGGCGGCAGGCCUAACACAUGCAAGUCGAGCGAGCGGCGGACAGGGGAGUAAUGUAUGGGGACUGCCCGAUAGAGGGGGAUAACUACUGGAAACGGUAGCUAAUACCGCAUCCUACCGCAUAACACAUAUGAGAUUAGCUAGUAGGUGGGGGAAUGGCUAACCUAGGCGACGAUCCCUAGCUGGUCUGUGAGGCUGAUCAGCCACACUGGGACUGAGACACGGCCCCGACUCCUACGGAGGCAGCAGUGGGGAAUAUUGCACAAUGGGCGCAAGCCUGAUGCAGCCAUGCCGCGUGUAUGAAGAAGGCCCUAGGGUUGUAAAGUACUUUCAGUCGGGAGGCGUUACCGACAGAAGAAGCACCGGCUAACUCCGUGCCAGCAGCCGCGGUAAUAC
rnacentral:rRNA from 1 species